AACGUUCAUACCACGUUAAAUACACCGGUUCUCGUCCGAUCGAAGUUAAGUAGUAUCGGGCGCAGUCAGUACUACGAUGGGUGACCGCAUGGGAACAGCUUGAUGU